GAUGAACGCUGGCAGCGUGCCUAAUACAUGCAAGUCGAGCGAACUUACGAGAAGCUUACUUCUCUGAUGUUAGCGGCGGACGGAUUAGUAACACGUGGAUAACCUACCUAUAAAACUGGAAUAACUUCGGAAGACCGGAACUAAUACCUGAUGAUAUUUUGAACCGCAUUGUUCUAAUGUGAAAUAUAUUCUUUCUGUCACUGAUAUAUGUAUCCUCAGUGCGUUAGCUAGGUGGUAAGGUAACGGCUUAACAAGGCAACGAUGCAUAGCCGAACUGAGAGGGUGAUCGGCCACACUGGAACUGAGACACGCUACAGACUCCUACGGGAGGCAGCAGUAGGGAAUCUUCCGCAAUGGGCGAAAGCCUGACGGAGCAACGCCGCGUGAGUGAUGAAGGUCUUCGGAUCGUACAACGCUGUUAUUAGGGAAGAACAUAUGUGUAAGUAACUGUGCACAUCUUGACGGUACCUACUCAGAAAGCCACGGCUAACUACGUG
rnacentral:rRNA from 1 species